rnacentral:rRNA from 1 species
AACGAACGCUGGCGGCAGGCCUAACACAUGCAAGUCGAGCGCCCUUUCGGGGGAGCGGCGGACGGGUGAGUAACGCGUGGGAAUAUGCCCUUCUCUACGGAAUAGCCUCGGGAAACUGAGAGUAAUACCGUAUACGCCCUACGGGGGAAAGAUUUAUCGGGGAAGGAUUAGCCCGCGUUGGAUUAGGUAGUUGGUGGGGUAAUGGCCUACCAAGCCGACGAUCCAUAGCUGGUUUGAGAGGAUGAUCAGCCACACUGGGACUGAGACACGGCCCAGACUCCUACGGGAGGCAGCAGUGGGGAAUCUUAGACAAUGGGGGCAACCCUGAUCUAGCCAUGCCGCGUGAGUGAUGAAGGCCUUAGGGUUGUAAAGCUCUUUUCAGCUGGGAAA